rnacentral:lncRNA from 1 species
CGCUUGAAGUUGUGCCCUGCAGCCCCGCACACCACCUCCGGCUCUCUGAGGCACUCGGAUGGCGGUGUAUGCGGCGGGGAAGGAGCGAGAAGGAUGAGACGGGAGGUGACAAGAGGAGGCGGGCAAGGAGCGGAUGGCCAAGUGGGGCGCCGGGUUGCUGCGAGGCUCCCGAGUGGCCCGGGCGAUCGCGGGGGAUGCGUGUCGUGCGCCCCCCCUCUGAGGCCGCGCCCUCGCCGAACCCGCCCCCUCCUGCGCCGCCGCAGCUUGGCUGCCUCUCCAAGGGGCCGAGGUGAUCUCUGGCAGGACCCACGGGGGACCCGCGCCACUCCUCCCGCUCCGCCCCCGGCUCCUCCCCUCCUGACGGAAGGCCUGGGACCUGCGGGACACUGAUCUGGGACGCUGGGACUCAGCAUACACACACCUGGCGGUAGAGGUGAUGGUCUCCGGUCCCUUGUAUACUCAAAGUGUGGUCCUUGGGUUAGAAGCAUCAGCAUCACCCGGGGGCAUGUUAAAAACGCAGCAUCUCAGGCUUCACUCCAGACCUAUUGACUCCAAAUCUGAAUAUUCAGCAAGAUUGCCAGCACUCACAUUUGGCACCUUGGGCUGCCUUGUAAGAAUCUGACUACCCUGAAGCUGCCUUAUCGGGAGGAAGCCCAGACAACAUGAAGAGGUCACCUGGAAGUGCUUGGAUUGACAACCCGAGGACAGCAUCAACUGACAGCUAUGUGAGUGAACCACUUUAGAAAUAUCCACCCCAGUCAAGCCUUCAGAUUACCGCCAUCCCAGACCCUUCCAGAAUUCCUGACCCAAAAAAUUACAAACAAAAAUAUAGUUGUUAUAAGCCUCGAAGUUUUAGGAUAAUGUGUUAUGGAGCAAGGUAACUGGAAUGUCCUGCUAGCUUCCCAUAAUCCAAUGCUCUGGAAGUCCCCUCUAAUCAACAGUCUACACUCAACAGGGCAAUGAGCAGUUAGGAAGAUAAAUAUUUUAGAGAACUCUGGAAGACAGAGAAGUAUGCAGGCACCCAAAACAUUGUGUUCUGAAAUAACAAUUCCAGUUGGAUUCUUUAAAAGUA